rnacentral:rRNA from 1 species
AUUGAACGCUGGCGGCAUGCCUUACACAUGCAAGUCGAACGGCAGCACGGGAGCAAUCCUGGUGGCGAGUGGCGAACGGGUGAGUAAUAUAUCGGAACGUGCCCAGUCGUGGGGAUAACGUAGCGAAAGCUACGCUAAUACCGCAUACGAUCUAUGGAUGAAAGCGGGGGAUCGCAAGACCUCGCGCGAUUGGAGCGGCCGAUAUCAGAUUAGGUAGUUGGUGAGGUAAAGGACUCACCAAGCCGACGAUCUGUAGCUGGUCUGAGAGGACGACCAGCCACACUGGGACUGAGACACGGCCCAGACUCCUACGGGAGGCAGCAGUGGGGGAAUUUUUGGGACAAUGGGCGCAAGCCUGAUCCAGCAAUGCCGCGUGCA